UACGAAGGGGGCUAGCGUUGUUCGGAUUUACUGGGCGUAAAGCGCACGUAGGCGGAUCUUUAAGUCAGAGGUGAAAUCCCGGAGCUCAACUUCGGAACUGCCUUUGACUACUGGGGAUCGUUGAGUUCGAGAGAGGUGAGUGGAACUGCGAGUGUAGAGGUGAAAUUCGUAGAUAUUCGCAAGAACACCAGUGGCGAAGGCGGCUCACUGGCUCGAUACUGACGCGUGGAGGUGACGAAAGGCGUGGGGAGCAAACAGG
rnacentral:rRNA from 1 species